GGAACAGAAGGCGACAGAGACAGUGUUGGAAGCUCUGCUUCGCCACGAAGCUCAGUGGGUCGUUUUGGGCCAGGUGCGCCCUUGCAAUUCUCACACCGUGCUUGCGGGGGUGAAGUGACAUGACCAACAGUUUUGGAGUCGUUUAUUGACUUCUGAUGUCUGGAAGCUAAUAAGCACCAUGUUGUGUUCAACCAGCUUAGAAUCACAGAAUAAAAGCUUGUGCCUUUACUCCCCUCA